rnacentral:rRNA from 1 species
UACAGAGGUCUCAAGCGUUGUUCGGAUUCAUUGGGCGUAAAGGGCGCGUAGGCGGCGGGGUAAGUCGGGUGUGAAAUCUCAGAGCUCAACUCUGAAACUGCACUCGAUACUGCUCUGCUUGAGGACUGGAGAGGAGACUGGAAUUCACGGUGUAGCAGUGAAAUGCGUAGAUAUCAGGAGGAACACCGAUGGCGAAGGCAGCUCGCUGGGACGGUACUGACGCUGAGGCGCGAAAGCGUGGGGAGCGAACAGG